UGCAGGAGAGUUAAUGCAGAUAAAGUAAAACAUUCAUCAAGAGGAACAUGGAGCUCAAGAGUUUCCUACUGAAUUGAGCUAGGCUGUCUGGUGAAAGAAUCACUCAGUGCUGCCUCCUUAGCACUGAGGUUGCAGGUAACUUUUUAAAGAUACUGUGCAUCUCAAAUGGAUGGCAUCAGUGUGUUAAAUCAGAAGAAACAGACUGCCAAGUGUGCCCAUGUAAAGCAGGCAUGCCGCCCACUUGGCCCUUCAGAGACAUCUGGCAAUAUCAAACCCACCAGCAAGUAAGCGACGAACCCACGCCACACCUACAUACUGAGACAAUGAAAACCAGAGGGUCAUUGAGAAGAUUAAAAUGAACCAAGCAUUCACUUU